GGGUUGUGAGGUUAAGCGACUAAGCGUACACGGUGGAUGCCCUGGCAGUCAGAGGCGAUGAAGGACGUGCUAAUCUGCGAUAAGCGUCGGUAAGGUGAUAUGAACCGUUAUAACCGGCGAUUUCCGAAUGGGGAAACCCAGUGUGUUUCGACACACUAUCAUUAACUGAAUCCAUAGGUUAAUGAGGCGAACCGGGGGAACUGAAACAUCUAAGUACCCCGAGGAAAAGAAAUCAACCGAGAUUCCCCCAGUAGCGGCGAGCGAACGGGGAGGAGCCCAGAGCCUGAAUCAGUGUGUGUGUUAGUGGAAGCGUCUGGAAAGGCGCGCGAUACAGGGUGACAGCCCCGUACACAAAAAUGCACAUACUGUGAGCUCGAUGAGUAGGGCGGGACACGUGGUAUCCUGUCUGAAUAUGGGGGGACCAUCCUCCAAGGCUAAAUACUCCUGACUGACCGAUAGUGAACCAGUACCGUGAGGGAAAGGCGAAAAGAACCCCGGCGAGGGGAGUGAAAAAGAACCUGAAACCGUGUACGUACAAGCAGUGGGAGCCUCUUUUAUGGGGUGACUGCGUACCUUUUGUAUAAUGGGUCAGCGACUUAUAUUCUGUAGCAAGGUUAACCGAAUAGGGGAGCCGAAGGGAAACCGAGUCUUAACUGGGCGUUAAGUUGCAGGGUAUAGACCCGAAACCCGGUGAUCUAGCCAUGGGCAGGUUGAAGGUUGGGUAACACUAACUGGAGGACCGAACCGACUAAUGUUGAAAAAUUAGCGGAUGACUUGUGGCUGGGGGUGAAAGGCCAAUCAAACCGGGAGAUAGCUGGUUCUCCCCGAAAGCUAUUUAGGUAGCGCCUCGUGAAUUCAUCUCCGGGGGUAGAGCACUGUUUCGGCAAGGGGGUCAUCCCGACUUACCAACCCGAUGCAAACUGCGAAUACCGGAGAAUGUUAUCACGGGAGACACACGGCGGGUGCUAACGUCCGUCGUGAAGAGGGAAACAACCCAGACCGCCAGCUAAGGUCCCAAAGUCAUGGUUAAGUGGGAAACGAUGUGGGAAGGCCCAGACAGCCAGGAUGUUGGCUUAGAAGCAGCCAUCAUUUAAAGAAAGCGUAAUAGCUCACUGGUCGAGUCGGCCUGCGCGGAAGAUGUAACGGGGCUAAACCAUGCACCGAAGCUGCGGCAGCGACGCUUAUGCGUUGUUGGGUAGGGGAGCGUUCUGUAAGCCUGUGAAGGUGUACUGUGAGGUAUGCUGGAGGUAUCAGAAGUGCGAAUGCUGACAUAAGUAACGAUAAAGCGGGUGAAAAGCCCGCUCGCCGGAAGACCAAGGGUUCCUGUCCAACGUUAAUCGGGGCAGGGUGAGUCGACCCCUAAGGCGAGGCCGAAAGGCGUAGUCGAUGGGAAACAGGUUAAUAUUCCUGUACUUGGUGUUACUGCGAAGGGGGGACGGAGAAGGCUAUGUUGGCCGGGCGACGGUUGUCCCGGUUUAAGCGUGUAGGCUGGUUUUCCAGGCAAAUCCGGAAAAUCAAGGCUGAGGCGUGAUGACGAGGCACUACGGUGCUGAAGCAACAAAUGCCCUGCUUCCAGGAAAAGCCUCUAAGCAUCAGGUAACAUCAAAUCGUACCCCAAACCGACACAGGUGGUCAGGUAGAGAAUACCAAGGCGCUUGAGAGAACUCGGGUGAAGGAACUAGGCAAAAUGGUGCCGUAACUUCGGGAGAAGGCACGCUGAUAUGUAGGUGAAGCGACUUGCUCGUGGAGCUGAAAUCAGUCGAAGAUACCAGCUGGCUGCAACUGUUUAUUAAAAACACAGCACUGUGCAAACACGAAAGUGGACGUAUACGGUGUGACGCCUGCCCGGUGCCGGAAGGUUAAUUGAUGGGGUUAGCGGUAACGCGAAGCUCUUGAUCGAAGCCCCGGUAAACGGCGGCCGUAACUAUAACGGUCCUAAGGUAGCGAAAUUCCUUGUCGGGUAAGUUCCGACCUGCACGAAUGGCGUAAUGAUGGCCAGGCUGUCUCCACCCGAGACUCAGUGAAAUUGAACUCGCUGUGAAGAUGCAGUGUACCCGCGGCAAGACGGAAAGACCCCGUGAACCUUUACUAUAGCUUGACACUGAACAUUGAGCCUUGAUGUGUAGGAUAGGUGGGAGGCUUUGAAGUGUGG
rnacentral:rRNA from 1 species